AGCUACGCUGAAGCUGAGCCCCUCUAUGUCUGAGCACACGGAGUGGAGCAGACGGCAGCGGCCACACAAACACACUCCUCUCCCAGUUACACACACAUCACACACACACACACACACACACACACAGACAGUGACGGCUGCCAGACGCAGUGGGAAGCAAGCAGUCAGAGAAGAAAGCGAGUGAUCGCAGAGGGGAAGAGAAGAAAAGAGAGUUGGAGGAGGCACCUUGUGGAUCAGAGGGGAUUUUCCUCAGUGCGAGUGUUCGUCUGGAUCAGCCUGCUUCUUCCUGAGUGAGAGGAGUUGUUACCCAAAGCUUUUUUUUUUCUUUUGCUCAUCUUCAACUCCGGACUCCGUUUACCUAUCUAUUCCAGGAGCUUAACAAAAGAGGGAGGGAGGGGAAAACCCCCCCCAAAAAAACAGUCACAGCUCCCCCUCCAUCCUCCUCCUCCUCAUCCUGCUCCACAUCCAUGUGUGAGUUCACCAUCGUCUUCGGAGGAUAGGACACAGCAGAGAGCGUGUGUGUUCUCCCGGAUACGACAGAGGGAUUCAGGGUCUUGUGCGGGCUGGGAAAAAGAAGGGGGAACAGACCCGCUGGGAAAACGAGGAAUUGACGAGGAGCGACAGGAGAACUGAGAGCAAACUGCGGGCAUGUGUGCUUUUUAGACUGUGAGGAACCGGCAACUAGAUCCCGUCCAUUCCUCCCUCCUCCUCAUCACUCUCUUCCUCUUGCCCCCUCCUUCACACUCUUUCUGUCCGGCUGGCCAAUCUCUCCUAUUGUUUCCUGUAUUGCCUCUCACAUCUUUUUUUUCCCCCCCUCUCUGUUGCCCCUCGAUUUAAACCCCCCUUUUUUAUGUUGCCACUCCGGAUUCUGUCUGUCUCUUAAUACCAACAGGAAAGACUUUCCCCCCCCCCCCCCCCCUCCCCUUGAGCUCCCCGGACUGAAAUUCCGAGUGUGUUUUCUCCCUGCAUCCUCGCCUAAAAGGAUCCAGGCGACGACCUCGGCGAGAUCGUACCCCCCCUCCCACCCCCCAACUGCGAGCUUCUAUCCCCAGCCUGCAGGACCUCCAGUUGGAUUCCAGCUACAUGGGCAAGCGUUUGGAGCAGCAGCAAAUGUACCCCCAGUACACCUACUACUACCCCCACUACCUCCAGACCAAGCAGUCCUAUGCUCCUCCCCCUCCACCCAUGGCUCCACCCAGCCCCAGCACCACAGGAGGAGGUGGAGGUCAAGGAGGAGGUUUGGUGGAGCAACUAAGUAAGACAAACCUGUACAUCAGAGGCUUGCCGCCGGCUACCACUGACCAAGACCUCAUCAAACUCUGCCAGCCAUACGGAAAAAUUGUUUCCACAAAGGCCAUUCUGGACAAGAACACUAAUCAGUGUAAAGGCUAUGGCUUUGUGGACUUUGACAGCCCUGCAGCUGCCCAGAAAGCCGUGGCUUCGCUCAAAGCCAGUGGAGUCCAGGCACAGAUGGCCAAGCAACAGGAACAGGACCCAACCAACCUGUACAUCUCCAACCUUCCAGUGUCAAUGGAUGAGCAGGAGCUGGAGAACAUGCUGAAGCCUUUUGGUCAUGUUAUUUCUACUCGGAUACUGAGGGACGCCAACGGACUAAGCAGAGGGGUUGGCUUUGCCAGGAUGGAGUCUACAGAAAAGUGUGACGUGGUCAUUCAAAAUUUCAAUGGAAAAUUCUUGAAAACUCCUCCAGGCAUGGCAGCCCCCGCAGAGCCGCUGCUAUGCAAGUUUGCUGACGGAGGCCAGAAAAAAAGGCAGACCCAGGUCAAAUAUCCCCAGAACGGCCGACCAUGGACGCGGGAUGGAGAGAGUGGUAUGGCGCUGGCAUAUGAUCCCACCUCGAUGCAAAAUGGGUUCUAUUCAUCACCGUACAGCAUCUCCACCAAUCGGAUGAUUGCCCAGACGUCAAUCACCCCCUUCAUUGCUGCCUCUCCUGUUUCCACAUAUCAGGUCCAGAGUACAUCUUGGAUGCCACAUCAACAGUAUGUUAUGCAACCUACAGGUGCUGUGAUUGCCCCGUCUGCAGCUAUAGAGCCCAGCUUGUCACUUCACCCCUCUGGUGUCAUGGCGCCUCUCACCCAACAGAUGAACCACCUGUCCUUGGGCACUACAGGCACUUACAUGCCUGCUGCAGCAGCUGCUCCUAUGCAAGGAACCUACAUUCCCCAGUACACUGCAGUGCCUGCUUCUGCCAUCACAGUGGAAGGUGUGGUGACAGACUCUUCUCCACAGACAGCUGCCCCUUCCUUGCAGGACACCAGUGGGCAGCAGCCUUUAUCAGUGGAGAGCACAGGAGAGCAUGGCACUGCCUACUCUUACCAGCAGACUAAAUAACAAGAUUGGUCAAUGCUGUGUUGCCUUGAUGAGGACUGCACUGACAGAGACAGAAACAAACCUGGAUAAUGUAAGGUCACAUGAACAUCUUGAAAGGAGUGAAUUUUCCAAAUUAAAACAGGGGGUAAAAAAUAACUGUUUUUUUAACAAAAAAAAAACCCUUGUUGAAUGGAGAAAAGGACAAAAGAGACCAUUUGCUGAGUUUAGGACAAUGAUACCAAAUGCAGUCUGUAUCUUUUGAGAUAACUUCUGCAAGUGGGACUGGACUUCGCCUCCAAAGGAAUAAAAAAAAAAAAAGAUAAGACAAAGACUGAAACAUCAACCAACAAGCUGUACAGAAGAAAAAUAACCUCUGAAUGUGCAGGUAGAUUUUCAGACUUUUGUAUGAAAAAAAGGAAUUAAAGACAAACUAGAUUGUCUUCCUUUGAUAUUAUCAUUUUCAUCCUUAUCAUUUGAGUAGUUUUCUAGGAGAUCAACGUUUUCGUAACUCUUUCUUGCCUUAAUUUUUCUCAAAGUGUGGGAAACGAUUUCCAUUGUGCUGACCUAUCGAAAAAGGGAGUGGAUGAGUAAGUUUGGGAGGAACCGCACAGAUGAAACUGUACAGGAUUGCUUUCAAAAGGUAUUUGUUUGCAGAUGAUUGUAAUGAUUGGCGUGGUGCCGCUCAGCUCUUUAACGUGGGAAGGAUCAUUCCCACUGCUUACUGGCUGAAAACACAGUUUGGUUUCUUCAUUGUAUUUAUAUUUUCGAUUAACUUAAAAAAAAAAAAAAAUGUAAAACAGUUUUGUCUGCUUUACUUGUCUCAGUGCAAAUAGAACAGAUGUAAGGAGAAACGUUUAUGGCUUUGAUUCAAAAGCAGAAACAAUUUUGAAAUGCGCAAAAGCAAUAGUUUUAGUCUUUUGUAAAUCCGUAAAAGGCAGCCUGAAGGUGACAUAUUUUAUACCAAAGAUGAAGAAAAUAGCUAGAAAAGAUUUCUUCCUUUUGUUUUUUUCUUGAUUCUUUUACCACUGAAACUGAUUUUGUUGUUGCUGAUGGUCUACAGUACAAGAUCAUAUUUUGCUUUAAAAGAUGCUUUUUAUCAAACGCAAUGGGAAAAAAAAAAUCUCUUACCAACUAAUAAGCUGUUAAAAGUUUGUUCAUUAGAAGGUUUGUAUCCUAUAGAAUAAUGAUGGCUAAUAUACACACACACCAAAUGUGUGACCUACGCGUCGGUUGAAUUGAAACAGCUGGACUUUUCUAGAUAGUUGAAGAUCUGUCACCUUUCAUCCAAAAAGCUUUUUCACCCUAACAUGUCCACACAUGAACAAUAAUAUGUCCACACAUGAACAAUUGUAGGUAGAAACGCUAGAGUUUCAACCUUGUAUCCCCACAGAAACAACGUUCUGUGUGGCCUAAGAGAUAGAUUGGGAACGUCUGAUAUUGUGUGGACAGGCAAACUGCUACUUUUUAAUAACAACGACAUUGCCAUGCCGUCAUGUGACCAUAAAAAAUUGAGAAGACAGCUGCCAACAACAACAAUGGUAAACAACAACGCUUUGUUUGUGUUGUGCAGUAGUUGCACAGUAGUACAACCUCAUCAACAUUUGUCAACUACCAUAUGCCAUUUUUUUAAGUACUUCCACAAUUUCAGGUUAAGGACCACAAGACUUAGACUUCCUUUAUUGUCAUUCACAUUUGAACUUUACAGUCAGAUGUCCCAUUAGACAUCUGACUGUUCCCACCCCCACACCCCUCUUAUCGCGAUCUUUCUGACAAUGCUAAAAUGUAAACUAUUGUCAACCUGCACAUCAAUGCAGUUUCUAUGCCGCUGGACAAAGCUCAAACAAAAUCUCGUUGUUCAUGUAUGACUUAAGUGUUAUUAUGACAAUGACAAUAAAGGAAUUGAUUGAUUGAUUGAGAUAAGAAUUACAUUUUGUUGUAUUAGCUCCUUGUAGUGCAGGAUAAAAGAGUAAUAAGGUGCAGAUAUAAAUCAAUUUACUGUACAGGUAAAUAUAUUUCACUUUUGCAUAUGCAUCCACGUUUACGGAUGUAUGUUAUAUUGUCUUUAUAGUCCAGCGAGUUAAUCCGUUUUUGGGGGGAAUUGUGGGGAUUAUUUUGAUGCGUUCAAUAGUCUUACGGCCUGAGGGAAGAAGCUGUUACAGAACCUAGAGGUUCUGCUACGGAGGCUGUGGAACCUCUUUCCAGAGUCCAGCAGUGAAAACAGUCCUUGGCGGGGGUGGGAGAAGUCUCUACAGAUUUUCUGAGCCCUGGUCAGGCAGCAGCUUUUUGCGAUCUCCCGGAUAGGAGGAAGAGGAGUCCUGAUGAUCUUUUCCGCCGUCCUCACCACUCUCUGCAGAGACUUCCAGUCUGAGGCACUGAAGGCUCCAGUCCAGACAGAUAUGCAGUUGGUCAGUAGGCUCUCUAUAGUGCCUCUGUAGAACGAGUUCAUUGUAACUAGCAUGUAGCUUCAACAUAGCGAUUCCUCUCUUCAAAAAUGAAAGCAGGAUCAAACCUAAGCAAAAGUCAGCAUUUUUGACCCCUUAAGGAGUCAAACUAUGUCUGAUGUGAGAAUAUUUGAUGGAGAAUUAAGAGAGUUUGACAGGAUGAUGGAAAACCACGCGCACUCGUAUUGACAUGUGCAACAACAACAAGGCAACAUGGCCGAAACCUACAGCAAGCUGUGAUCGACCGGUAAAUUGAGAGCUUUGCCUUAUGGCUCAGCUCCUUCUUCACCACGGCGGACCGAUGCAGGGUCCGCAUGAUGUAGACGCCGCACAGAUCCACAUGUCGAUCUCACGAUCCACUCUUCCCUCACUCGUUAACAAGACCUAAAGGUACUUGAACUCCUCCCGCUUGGGCAGGAUCUCAUCCGCCCGCCACACUUUGGCGGGCGAGAACCAUGGACUAGGACUUGGAAGUGCUGAUUUUCAUCCCAGUCGCUUCACACUGCGACUGCGAACCGAUCCAGUAAGAGCUGGAGAUCCUGGCGAGAAGAAGCCAGCAGGACCACAUCAUCUGCAAAAAGCAGAGACCUAAUCCUGCAGCCACCAAACCCGGCCUGACUGUGCCUAGAAAUUGUGUCCAUAAAAGUUGUAAACCCAAUCGGUGACCAAGGGCAGCCCUUGCGGAAUUCAACCCUCACUGGAAACGUGUCCGACUUACUGCCGACAAUGCUGACACUGAUCAUACAGGGAGCAGACCGACACAAUCAGGCAGCCUAAUACACCACACUUUCUGUCCCACAAAUUAUUACCAAUUGUUUGGAUUUACACAAUGUCACGUCCGGCUCAUUAAAUAUGCGUGGUGGUCAAGCCAGCAUCUGUUCUCAAUGGGUACCAGGUGCCAUUUUGACUUUCUCAACGAAAAAUACCCUAAGCUUGCUUUGUUUUCAGCUGUACGAACCAUUCAAAUACGAAAAUAAUAAAUGUUUCUUCAAGAAGGGCGGAGGAGUAUAAUAUUUUACGAAAAAAGACAACAAAAGUGUCAGGCACUCCAGUCCAACGGAGCAAAGCCAAAGAAAGCACGAGUUUGCAGUGAUCUCUCUGUUAAAGGUUUGUUUGAUAUACUUUUAAGUAUUGCCUUGAUAUUAUAUGUAUUUUGUCUUGUUUCGGAGUUCUCAAAAAUGCAUUUUUGCUACAAGUGUUUCGUAAAGCACCGACUCGGUUAAUCUAAAAUAAAAGAAAGCAAAUGGGAGCAAAACCUAAAAGAGUUGAGCUUUUACCAAAGGCAGCAAUCAUAAAUAAAGCUUUCAGCAUAUACACAACAUUGACAUCUAUAGUUAUAUUUUGAUAAAGACCGGGAAAAACAUACGUACUGGUAAAUUGCGCGUGCAACAAAACGGCAACAAACAUGGCUGUAGACGCAAAGUUAAAUCAUGAAAAAAAACGAUGCAUAUUUAUCCGGAAAAAUCUUGAUUCGAAUUGUCCUUGAGUUGUAGACCUCCAUGCUUUUCUAAGUUUUCAUCUGUUUUUUGUGUGUAGAAUGAUGUCUGAAGCACAACAAAUAGUUUGAUACGUCUGGGAACUCCACCGACGGAUAAUUCUUUAUAUCACUAAAAAAUCUAUAUUUUUGAUAAAGUAUAGGGAUCUAUUACAUGGCAUAGUUUGAUUUUUUGCUUGUAUGCGCUUUCUUGCAGGAAGAUCUAGGCCUCUUGCUUACUCAGAUAGUUCGCACUAUGUUUGCUGCACAACAGCUAUCUUGGCUUGGUUAACCACCACUGGUUUUCACUUCUGGGAUGAAGUCAUGUGUCAGAAUACAAGCAAUGAACAAUAUUAUUGUCAGCAUUACAUUGAGAUCAAAUUAAACGCUAAUGUAAUCAUAAUAUAAAUAUUUAUAAUGUAAGUAACACUUUAAAACACAAUCAACUUGUAUUUCAUUAAUAUUGAUGGGCUCAUCUUGCUUAUUCGGUGUGAAGCCAAAAUAUUGUCUAUACAUUUGGCUUUGCAAUUUUGUUUUUUCCUCCUAAUUUUUGCUUCCUUGAGGUGCUUCUCACUCGCGAGUCGCGAUUAGCGAUGCUCUCUGUCCAUGCAUCCGGUGUGUGAAUGUGUGUAUUGUGUAUGAGUGUGUGUGAGCUAACAGUCCCACCUCCACCCACAGAGACAAUGACUGUAGAUCACUGAAGGGAGAGUUCACUCUGUUAAUGUGAUUCUGCCAUUGAAAACAGCGUUGAGGUGCUAAAGGUGAUGAGAGUGAAAUCUCCUGCACCCUGUUUGACUGCUAUAGACAAAGAAAACACACAAAAACGUGGCAAUUCAUAGAUUUUAUUUCAAUUUAUCAUUUAAUUAAAUGUAUUUAUUCAGCCUAGGCCGUAGACAUGAAUAAGGAGACUCCACACCUAAAAUGUUAGGACUGAAAACAACUUUUGGAUGAAAGGGCUUCAACUAACAGGAGUCCAGCAAUUCAAUGACCUCGAUGACUGAGAAUUUACACAGGCAAACACCAUGAGAUGUAAAAACUCAUUCAAACCAAAAUACUUGCAUAGAUGUACAAGCCAACUACAACACGAGCAUAGCAAUGAAAAGGAAAGGGCAUUUCUGCACGGAACCAUUUAAGCUUAUGUAUUUCAUUAAUAGGUUUUGUAUCUCUUUUUUGUUCUUAGUUUUUUUACUUUUUGUGUGUUUUUUUAAGAAUUUGUGUAUGAGCUGCUAAAUACUAUGUCAGUGUUGGCGGGUGUGGAAAAUGCUGCACGUUCAGAAUGUUCCUCAAAAUCUUUUCAUUCAGUCGAGAUGAACCGCAUCGGGUUUACAGUUGUACAUAAAAAUUGGAAAAAAAAAAAAAAAAAAAGCAAAAGCAAAUGAAAUAGGAAGUAUUGCAAAAUGCAAUUUAACCAAAACCAACCAGACACAAACCUAAAUUCGAAGGCAGAGAGAGAGUCAAAUAUUUAUGAGAUCUGUUUUUGUACAGGUGUGAAAAAGAAAAUGCGACUGAAAAAAAUCUUUGCUAUUUUUUUAUUUGCUUGGUCACAAGACCUCCAUGUCUUUUGAACUGUGAUUCUGAGAGUGUCUGUAGAGCCAGUGGAUAUUGAUGUGAUUUCAAAAUGUCUUUUUUGGUUUAUUUUUGUUUUCCUUUCUAGACAAAUCUUUCAAUAAAAAACAAAAAAAUACAAAGUCUUCUCUUUAGUGUAUGUACGCUGUGCACCAUAUACAGGGCUACCGCUAGAGGGCACUCUAUGCAUGUGGUAUGAGUGAAGGUUGAAAAAAUAACCACUAUGGAAAGGAUCAAGGGAAGUCCAAAUUGACCAAUCAGAAACGAGUUGUGGUGAUGAUGUCAUCAACACGGUCCAUGAGCUCACAGGUGAAGCCUCAUGUCUAGUCUGGAGCCCAAAACAUUUUUUUUAGAGGAAGGGGAUUCAUAUGGUCCUUUUCGUCACAGUUUACCUGACAGAUGGAACGUGAGGAAUUGAGGGUGCACUCUCCACUUAGCCGCCAGAUGGCAGGAAAGUGUUGCUUAUCUUAAAAUGUGUUUUGUGGCAACUUUGACCAAAGCGUCAGUUGCUUUGUAGUGUGGCGAUUUACUUUAUUUUUAGUAGACUGUAUUGCAAAAUUAUUAACUCCCCCCUCCUCCUUCCACUCACCCGAGAUCCACCCACCAAUAAAGAGUAAUAUUGGUGUAAAUUGAAAUUGUUUUGAUCCAC